UACGAAGGGGGCUAGCGUUGCUCGGAAUCACUGGGCGUAAAGCGCACGUAGGCGGAUUGUUAAGUCAGGGGUGAAAUCCUGGAGCUCAACUCCAGAACUGCCUUUGAUACUGGCGAUCUUGAGUCCGGGGAGAGGUGAGUGGAACUCCGAGUGUAGAGGUGAAAAUUCGUAGAUAUUCGGAAAGAACACCAGUGGCGAAGGCGGCUCACUGGCCCGGUACUGACGCUGAGGUGCGAAAAGCGUGGGGAGCAAACAGG
rnacentral:rRNA from 1 species